rnacentral:rRNA from 1 species
ACUCCUACGGGAGGCAGCAGUGGGGAAUUUUGGACAAUGGGCGAAAGCCUGAUCCAGCCAUGCCCGGUGAGUGAAGAAGGCCUUCGGGUUGUAAAGCUCUUUUAGUCGGAAAGAAAGAAUUACAAUAAAUAUUUGUGAUUAUACUGGGUACGGACAGAAGAAGCACCGGCUAACUACGUGCCAGCAGCCGCGGUAAU